GUGGGGAAUAUUGGACAAUGGGCGCAAGCCUGAUCCAGCCAUGCCGCGUGAGUGAUGAAGGCCUUAGGGUUGUAAAGCUCUUUCAGUGGGGACGAUAAUGACGGUACCCACAGAAGAAGCCCCGGCUAACUUCGUGCCAGCAGCCGCGGUAAUACGAAGGGGGCUAGCGUUGUUCGGAUUUACUGGGCGUAAAGCGCACGUAGGCGGAUUGGUCAGUUAGAGGUGAAAUCCUGGAGCUCAACUCCAGAACUGCCUUCGAUACUGGCGAUCUUGAGUCCGGAAGAGGUGAGUGGAACUCCUAGUGUAGAGGUGGAAUUCGUAGAUAUUAGGAAGAACACCAGUGGCGAAGGCGGCUCACUGGUCCGGUACUGACGCUGAGGUGCGAAAGCGUGGGGAGCAAACAGGAUUAGAAACCCCAGUAGUCC
rnacentral:rRNA from 1 species